GCCCUUUCUGAAGCUGAGAGGGAGCCGGAAAGGAAGGGACUCAGGGGAUCUCAUGGGAGCCAGAAGGGCCCAGACUUAGGAUCCGAAAUUGUGCCUAUGAGAGUGAGUCAGUGUCUUGGUCUGUCACCCGGGCUGGAGUGCAGUGGUGCAAUCAUAGCUCGCUGCAGCCUCGACCUCCUAGGUUUAAGUGAUCCUCCUGCCUCAGCCUCCUGAGCAGCUGGGACUACAGGUAUGCACCACGCUGUCUGGUUAAUUUUAAAAUUUUUUGUGGAGAUGAAAUCUUGCUAUGCUGCCCAGGCUGGUCUUGAACUCCCGACCUCAAGCAAUUCUCCUGCCUCGGCCUCCCAAGUUGCUUGGAUUACAGGUGUGAGCCAUUGUGUCUGGCCAGUGACUCACUUCUGAAGACAGAAUACAGGGGAAGUGAUGGUAUGUGACUUCAGAGAUCAGAUCAUAAAUGGCAUUGUAGCUUCUGCCUUGUUUUCUCUCUUGUGUCAUUCACUCUGGGGAAAGUCAGCUGACACUCGUGAGGAUGCUCAAGUGGCCUUGUGGAGAGGCCCACGUGGUGAUGGGCUGAGGCCUCUCUCCAGCAGCCUCAAGUGGGCACCAUCUUGGAAGCAGACCCUUUCAACCCAGGCAAGCCUUUGGAGGACUGUAGUCCUGGCUGACGUCUUGACUGCAAUCUCAUGGGAAUCCCUGAGCCAGAACCAUUCAACUAAGUCACUCUUAAUUAUAAUUCUUGACCUGCAGAAACAGAGAAAAAAAAUAAAAGUUUAUUGUUUUAGGCAGCUAAGUUUUGGGGCAGUUUGUUACACAGCAAUUGAUAAUGAAUACACAUACCACCCUAAAAUAUAAUCUUUCAGAGUCAAUGACAUCCACAAACUCGAGUAUAGUGGGAGAAUAUGAAUGAAAAGAAUAGAAGGUGUAGCAACAUAUUCCUUCUAAGGAAGAGU
rnacentral:lncRNA from 1 species